UGAUACUUUGAUACUCGUCCGGCUUCUGAUUCGUGAGACUCGUUUGCCGCUGUAUCUAUCAAUAGAAAAAAAUAUCAUUUGGAUGAAUCAGACUCAUGUCGUCUGACUCCACUCGUUGAGAUCUCGUUUGCUACUGACUGAAUGCGUCUACUAUGCGCUACACGAGACUGAACCUUUUGACUCGUGUUGUGUAGCGACACUCGUCCCCCUUGUUCAAUUAAACGCAUGUAGCGGCACUCGUUCCCCUCGUUUAGUCAAACGCAUGUAGCAACAACGGCAAACAAGACAAAGGAAAAGCUAAGCUAUUGAGAGUGCUACGGAGCGGGACCUUUAUUACCCGACGUCACGAUGCAAGUUUCGUUCCUUUUCUCUUCUCGACUCGAUUUAUAUACUGGAAAUCAAGUUAGUAGAGCUAUUUGAUGAUUGGUAGAGGAGUAAGGGCUCUGAGCGAGUCAAUUGUCAGCUCAUAGAGGGUGCACCAGUACUAUACACGGAUGUAUGAUGAUACUCUACACAGAUGUACAAUCGUAUGAAACUGUAUGAUUCUUUUGUCUCCAUACGAAAGAAAGGGGGCCUCCCAACGAAACCGCUCCUCUUUCAUCGAGGCAGGACCCGCCACAUCAAGGGAGACACGCUCUUUCUUCUUGCUACACUCAACAGUUCUUCCCAUACAAGAAGAGUAGAUGAUGAUGUGGAGUGAACGGAGGUUUUACAUCAUUGAAGGCUCUUUCUGCAAACUUUAUAACGACGAGGUUUCAAGAACUAAUAUAAUUCUAAUAUAGCUGCUUUUUUGAGUCAAGGAUGAAGACUCUACUGGACAGACCCUAGUGUAGAGAAGAGUUUCAAGGGUAGAACUGGGGAACAAGGAAAUGUAGAUCGACACUUGCCUACACUGCUCGUUCAGUCAUCGAUAGGUAUGUAACGUGUUGUCCGCUUAUCCCUACCUGAUGCAAUCCCCCCUUUUUUGGCAUCAGUGAAACUUGACUCGAUGUAGGGCCCCCGAGGCAUCAGCGGAACUUGACUCGUGUCAACAAGGUUU
rnacentral:lncRNA from 1 species